AGUUCUUAGCAUCGCUAAGUGCACUUAACGGCAAAGAAUCGUUAAGUUUUCUACUUAAAAUGGCGCCGGGCCGCUUAGCGCUGAAGCUGGAGCACUUAGCGGGCGGAAAAUUUAAGGCGGGGAAGGGGCUCCCUUAGCACCGUUAAAAAUGCAUAAGUAUUGCAACAUGGUGGAUUACAGCGGGAUGAAAGGCAUCACCUCCUAAUAUAUCUGCCUCGUCUAGACGAAUUGGAGGCGUGUAAUGAUUUGAAACUCAUCCUGAAAUAUCUGUGGACUGUGCUGACCGUGCUGAGAUGAGUGGUUCGGCGAGGCGGACCUUGGAAACACCUACAUGGCCAUCACGACUGAAGUGGUGUUCGCUGACAGGUAAAAUGCAGGUGCAACCUUCACAGGCUGACAGAGAUUGAGUGAUAACAGACACUGGAGACCCUCCAAGCGAUGGCUGGUGACCGCCUGCCACCAUCCACAGGCUGUCACACAAGGAGCCCUGGGAGUAACCUUGCUGGAAGCCCCGCGGGCCGCAGUGUGUGGCUGGCGUUAUACAGCCCCCAGCCAUCGCCUGGAGGGCAUGCAGUGUCUGUUAUCACUCACCUUAGGUAGUCUGUGAAGGUCCAGUCAUCACUGGUGCACGUGUAUCUUACCUGUGAUCAACACCGGCAGCCACAGACUCCUGCCCAAGGAACGAACACAGUGAUCGUGAUGACAUUGACAACAACGAGCAAGUCCUCCUAGACCUAGAGUGACCUCAAGCUGGGCCAAACAUGAUGUGGAAGAAGAAAUCAGUUGUCUCCAUCAGUCGGGUUUGUGCCAUGGCAGCUUUCUCCAGCUGUCCGGCAGAGGUCCAGUCCAUGCCAUGGAGAAAUUCAGCCCCCAACAAUGAGAUGGCAUGCCAGAGAUGGAUCCGCAGCUUCUCCUCCAAUCAGUCAAUCCUUGCAAUGCCCUUUCUCUUUUCUCUUCUUCUGUACCACCAUGCUUACACAUAACUGAUCCAAGGUACUUAAACUCGUUAACCUCCUCCAUUUCUUCACCAUUCAAAAUUAUUUGGCAUUCUUUUUCACAUUCAAUGCCCACUCUAUAUGGGCAUACAAACUCUACAACCUCCCUUCUACUCUGCUCACAAACCAUCACUUUACUUUUGUUGACAUUUACUUUCAACUUUCUCCUUUUACAUACACCAUCAAAAACACUGACCAAAUUUUGUAAGUCACUUUCAUUUUCUGCAUUGAGCACUGUGUCAUCAGCAAAUAAGAUUGAAUUCAUCACCCACUUCCCUCCCUCCCUCAGCAUACAUUUUUACUUCAAUUUCCCCAACUUUGCCCUUCAUUUCUCAUAACACCAUCCAUAUAAAUAUUGAACAACCAUGAUGACAUAUAUAUCUUUAAGACGUCCCACAAUGCCAGCCAAUCGACUCUGUCAUAAACUUUCUUUAGAAUAACUAGAUCCUUGAAGGCAGCAUAGUAUUUUUUCCUUUUGCUAAUAUUUUUUCUAAUAAAACACCAUACUGAAGGAAAAUAUCUGAUCCACACAUCCUCUUCCCUUCCUAAAGUCUCCUUGUUCUUCACUGAUUUUCUCUUCUGUAAGUCUUUGCGCAGUCUCAAUUAGGACUUUUCCAUAUACCUUUCCAGGUAGCCUACACUCAGCAGACUUAUACCCCUACAACUCCCACUUCCCCUCUCCUGCCCUUCCCCUUGUAAACUGGGACCAUGAUGGCUUUUGUCAAGUCUGCUGGGACCUCCCCCCCCCCUUCCCAGGCCACUUCACAUAUCUUGACCAUUCAUAUAGUAACUUCAUCUCCACACUUCAACAUUUCUGCUGUGAUUCCUCUCAAUUCAUUCAUCAUCAUCAUCCCAUCAAUGCCUGCUCUUAGGAGCUCCCACCAGAGGAUGGCCACGGCAGAAGUUUCCAUCUUUCUCUAUCCGGACACUCCCUCCUUGCCUGCUCAAAGUUUCUCAAGGAUCUCUCAUCCUUCUCCCUAACGUACUCCUGCACCCUAUCUCUCCAUUUCACUGGAGGUCGUCCUCUAACAUUCCCUCCCUCAAUCUCACAUACACCCUUCUGGUCAUCUUACUCUCCUCCAUUUGCUCCAUGUGGCCAAACCACUUUAAAGUCACUUAUUCCCUUCACCCCCGUGACACAUUCCAAAACGCUCAUACACACUUUCAUUACUUAUUCCAUCCAUUCUACUCACACCACAAGCACUCCUCAAAUAACUCAUUUCCACUGCCUGCACUCUAGACCUCUGACUUUCAUUCAAGGCCCAUGUUUCACUUGCAUAUGUGAGGGUUGGUACUAUUAUUGUAUUUUCAACUGAUAACUGAUCCAGGGUACUUAAACUCAUUGACCUCCUCCAUUUCUUCACCAUUCAGAAUUAUUUUGCAUUCUUUUUCACAUUCAGUUCCCACUCUAUAUGGGCAUACAAAAUCUACAACUUCACUUCUACUCCCCUCACAAACCAUCACUUUACUUUUGUUGACAUUUACUUUCAGCUUUCUCCUUUUACAGACGCUAUGAAAAUCACUGACCAAGUUUUGUAAGUCACUUUCAUUUUCUGCAAUGAGCACCGUGUCAUCAGUAAACAGGAUUGAAUUCAGCACCCACUGCCUUCCCUCAGCGUACAUUUUUACUCCAACUUUGCCCUUUAUUUCUCUCAUGACACCAUCCAUAUAAAUAUUGAACAACCAUGGUGACAUGACACGCCCUGCCCUAAUCCCACCUUUUAUCU